rnacentral:misc_RNA from 1 species
GUAGGUGAACCUGCGGAAGGAUCAUUAAUUAUCGGUAGUUUACUAGUGUUUGAAGGGGGUGGAAAGUUUUCAGGAUCUCCUGGGAGUGAGUACAUCCUAUUCUUAACCCUUGACUUUUUGCGCACUCAUGUUUCCUCGGCGGGCUUGCCCGCCGAAUGGACAAACCAAUAACCUAUUUAAUAUUCAAUCAGCGUCUGAAUUAUUUUAAUAAUUACAACUUUCGACAACGGAUCUCUUGGUUCUG